UGGUUCCUCUGUUUACCCCAUUACGUGCACCGCUAUCCCAAUUUAAACCACUUGUGGGAUAGGAGUCAGUUAAGGUAAACGAAUGAGCUGUAUAUCGUGAAAGAAGAAGUUGCUGCGUGUGAGAAGAAGAAUAGUGGCCCGCAACCAUCUUUUGAUCGGUAGAGGAAGAAGAAGAACAUCAUUCCGGCCUCGAGUCCUGUAUGAAGUUCCCUACAAGAAGUUAACCAUCUCAUCAAAAUGAGUGCUGGAGAGCCAUGCGCAGGAAACCGUACGCCUGUAAAGCGGUAAGUACAACAGCCGAACAACUUUACGGUCUCAACACAUAGGACGGAAACCAGUCCUGACGACACAAGCUCUUGCACCAACGUUUUAUCAAGCCGCCAGGGUUUAACUGUUGAUGCGUUAGGCGCGUUGAAUGACGCCUUUUACGAGGAUGCUAGCAAAUGUGAAGAUUUUGGACCAGGUAUUCCUGAUUGCAUGCAUUUUGAUUUCGUUGGGGCUCGCUUUCAACCUUGCCUUUGGAUGGUCUGAAGAACCUUUGGAACUUGAAGAGGAGCUGUGACUGAAUGACCAGCAAAACCAAGUGCACCCACCGGUGUAGGCUGCGUUCCUAAGAAUGAAACACAUAAAACAGA